rnacentral:rRNA from 1 species
UACGGAGGGUGCAAGCGUUAUCCGGAUUCACUGGGUUUAAAGGGUGCGUAGGUGGGCAGGUAAGUCCGUGGUGAAAUCUCCAAGCUUAACUUGGAAACUGCCGUGGAUACUAUCUGUCUUGAAUACCGUGGAGGUGAGCGGAAUAUGUCAUGUAGCGGUGAAAUGCUUAGAUAUGACAUAGAACACCAAUUGCGAAGGCAGCUCACUACACGCUUAUUGACACUGAGGCACGAAAGCGUGGGGAUCGAAACAGG